CAGUAGCCGCGGUAAUACGUAGGUGGCAAGCGUUGCCCGGAAUUAUUGGGCGUAAAGGGCUCGCAGGCGGUUUCUUAAGUCUGAUGUGAAAGCCCCCGGCUCAACCGGGGAGGGUCAUUGGAAACUGGGAAACUUGAGUGCAGAGGAGGAGAGUGGAAUUCCACGUGUAGCGGUGAAAUGCGUAGAGAUGUGGAGGAACACCAGUGGCGAAGGCGACUCUCUGGUCUGUAACUGACGCUGAGGAGCGAAAGCGUGGGGAGCGAACAGGAUUAGAUACCCCGGUAGUCCCUGUCUCUUAUAA
rnacentral:rRNA from 1 species